GGAUGUGAGGGCGAUCUGGCUGCGACAUCUGUCACCCCAUUGAUCGCCAGGGUUGAUUCGGCUGAUCUGGCUGGCUAGGCAGGUGUCCCCUUCCUCCCUCACUGCUCCAUGUGCGUCCCUCCCUAAGCUGCGAGUUCGGUGGAAGGGGACGGCCUUCCCCGAAUAGAGACGGACCAGUCUUGGGUCGAAGGUAUACGAGUAGCUGUGCUCCCCUGCUAGAACCUCCAAACAAGCUCUCAAGAAACGCAAAAAUUAGAGUAGGGCACCAAAGUAAAAACGCUGU
rnacentral:snRNA from 1 species